GCGCUUGUAGCUCAGUUGGAUAGAGCAACGGCCUUCUAAGCCGUAGGUCGCGGGUUCGAAUCCUGCCGGGCGCG
rnacentral:tRNA from 1 species